CGCAAAGAUCGCGCCCUUUUCCCCUUUGGAUUUCGAGGAUUUGGAGUCCCCGCCGCCUGCAUCCUCGCCUCAGAUCUAUUCUCUCCCUAGACUGUGCCGGAGAUAAAGAGGAAAGAUGAUAAUUACGCAAUAGUCUAAACUCGAUGAUUUUGAUGCGAAUGGACUAUGGACGCAAAAUUUUAAGAGAAGAUUUCUUGUGUGACUAAUGCAGUGGUUCAUCCUUUGACAACAUUGAAAAUUUGGAAGCCUUAACACUUGCAUUGGUUGAGAGAUAUAUUUGGCUGAUGAAUGAUCACCCGCUUACCACUGGAAACUGAAAUAGCAUGAGCCUAAAGGCCUAUGAUGGAAGUUUUCUCAUUGGAGGGAAAAGAGAAAUCUCAAGGAUAAGGUCCAUCUGCCUCUCUUUAGAUCUUAUUGUUAGUAGUCUCAGGCAUUAAAGUUCCCUUUUAUGCUAGAAAUAUUUGAAUAAGCUUAGCACCAAGUAUUUCUAGAAGCCCGCACAUCCAAAAUCAAAACCAAAAAGUUCUUGGAUCCAACGCCUACCAAUGCUUGCAAUGAUUGGCUUUAGUUAGUUAUUGAAUUUUUUUUUAAAAUUUUUUUUUGGACUUUUUAACAGUUCGGCUUUAACACACAGAUAUAGAAUCGGCAGAGUACAUAAGAAAUCUGUCACUUUCAGUGAUCUGUUUCAUUCUCCUCCAAUUGUAAAGUUGAUGCCAACACUUAAUAUUCCCUCUUUACAAUAGUAAUUUCUGGAAUUUGCGCCUCCCCUAUCGAGGCUUUAUUAGCCAGCCAUCAUCCAAAAGGGCACACAGGGAACAUUGUUCCUCCCUCUCUUUUAAUUUCUACAAAAUUGACAUGGAUAUAAAAGCUAAUAACAACAAUUAUACGCACGGCGUUGUAAACAUAUAUAUGAUUGUUACAUUGAUAAUUGACGAUUACAUCCUAAAUUGAUGAUAGUUUAGAUUUUGAAGUCGAAAUUUGUCUUGUCAUAUCAUGCAAACAUCAAUGGGAUUUCUGUAAUUCCAAAUCUUCCGAUGUAUUAUCAAGUCUAACCCAAUUUUAUUUGGAAGUUAGUACAUACAAAGGGAGUCUACUCAAACUCAUUCGCUCCUCUCUCUCUCUAAAAGACGCACAAGGGGAAGAGAGAAGUGAGAGGUCACUUGGAAGUUACUAAAUGUUAUAGAGCUUUUAACUCAUGUGGGCACAUGUGAGCCGAGAAAAGUAGGUGUUAGUGAGGACCACAUGCGCACGUGCCGCUUUGGCUUGCCCAUGUUACCAUUUGCAAAUGCCCACCAUUACCUCAAUCUUCUCUUUAAUGCAACAUUGGGGGUCCCUUUAACCUCUCCUCUUCACUCACAUCCAUUCUUUAUCUCCUCUCUUUUAUGAGGAUUUUAUAAAAGAAAAAAAAAAUGAAGGAAUUUACUAUCUUUUGCUAAUAUUUUCUUACUUAAAAUCCACUUCAAAAGUUGCCAUACUCAUUAAUCUUCCCUUCCUCUUUAACGCAUCAUGGCACUCUUCAGCCUUCUUUCCCCCUUAGAUUCCUUAUUUUCCUUUCUUUUAUGAGCAUUUUGCUGAAAUGUCUCUAUAAAUUUUCUUUCGCUUUCAUCCAUUCUCAAGAAAAACAAUUAGCUAUGAUCUUUUUGUGAGUUAGAGCAUGUAAAUUUUUUUCCAUCACAAUUAAACACCCUACAACAUUUUAAGUUUCUCUAGUAAUAUUGAUAAUUUAAUUUACCUAGUACAUAUUCAUCAUGGAGAUAAAUGACAUUAGUUUAAAAAAAACUUUUAACUAUCAUUAGUUAGCUAUAACUGUAUAGGGCACUGGCUAAACAUACUUCUUUCUAAGAUGUAUUCACAAGUAUGCAAUCACAAAAAAGAAAUUCUAUGAGCAUGUUUGGGAAUUGGUCAAAAUGGCUUAUAAGCCACAUAGUUUGACCAAGUAAAAGACCGUUGUACCUCAUAACAUUUAAGAAAAUUCGAAAGCUCUCUAUUCUCUAUCUCCAACGAACCAACCCCUUUUUGAUUAUUUUGACAACAAUGAUGGAUUAUAAGCCACUUAUUUGCCAGACAUUCUACUAUUAGAAAUAGAUUAUAACCCAUUAAGUUUACCAAACACUUUGGAUUGUAUAUACUUGAAUCAUAAGCCAUUUGUAGAAUUAUAAGCUAAGUAGAUUAUGAUCUAAAGUUGCCAAACAUGGCCCAAAUGUUUGUAUCUAAAUAAAGGCUAAAUGACACUGAAAUACCAUAAAGAUUCACCAUUGUGGCACUUAAAUACCAUAAGUUGUGAGAAAGUGACACUUUAAUACUCAAAAUUGUAAAAGGAUAGCACUUUAAUACCCUAAGUAAAUUGUCAUGAAAAAAUUUGUAAGAAUUUUCCCAUGAAAACUAGCAAAAAUGUACUAACAUGUCAAUAUUUUACAGCCAGUGAUAUUAAAGUGUCAUUUUUUACAACCCGUGAUAUUUAAGUGCGCCGGGGAAACUUUAGGUUAUUAAAGUGUCAUUUACCCCCUAAAUAAAAUACUAGAGUUGUCUUUACAGCUUGGAAAAGUAAAGAACAAGUCGUAAGAAAAACAAUUUCCUGAUUACUGUUGCAUCCCCACAGUAACAGUCAACAGGAUGCCCCGUCAAAUUUCACGAGGACCCACCAUUUGCUUCCACAGUGCUGAUGGUCCACGGUACUCCCGAAUAAUUAACGGUAGCCCCUUCUGUGGCCGCCCAAUCAAGAUCCAACGGAUGUCAUAAACUAUCUACAGUGUCCUGAUUGAACCGAACCCGAGGACCGGGUACAUAACGGACCACUUGCAAACACACCUGAUCCCGACCGUCCCUUUUCUCGUCAACGGUCUAAUCUCCGUCGACCUCAUGGAUAAAACGGAGCCGUUGAGUAAAUAGAAACAAUUAUUGUGGAUCAACAUGAAUUGUCGAUUGAUGGACCCUCCCUCUCCGCUGAAAGCGGAGCAAGAAUACGCAUGCAAGCGGAGUGUUGUUAAUCAUGAGCUAGCACAAACCUUUCGAGAAUAUAUCCUGCGCGCUAGCAAAAUGUUUUUUUUUUCCUUGCAUUCGGUGCGUUCUGAGGAGAUCCAUACUCGACCCUUCCUGCUACCUACUCAGUGGCGAAGCCACAUGAGACUUGCCCUGUGCAGCUGCUCAAUGCAAGAUUUUGGGAAAUAUAUUUAUAUAUAUAUAUAGAGAGAGGAAGAUGAAAAUACAAGGGGAUGUUGAGCUUGAUGCAUUCACUUACAACAUGACGCUCUAUGCGAACAAGGGCCGAUGGAUAAUGCCACCUAAGAUUUACUUUUUGCAAUACCUAUACUUGCAUUAAUUAUCUUUGGUUAUUCUAUUCGAGGACAAUGGAAAGAAGCUAUGAGCAUUACAACAAAAUGUACUCCGCUCAAAGCUAGGUUUUGUACCGACUCCGACGACUGAGGAGCAGGAGGAUGAGGCAUCUCCUUUGUCGAUGUUUGCGUCUUGGGAUUCAUCGCUAGCCAGGAUUAUUUUUUCGCCUAAGUCAAAAAAAAAAUCCUGGUUACGUCACUGUACGUACUGUGAAUUUUUAUUGUAAUUGAAAGUUCUUUUGAUAGAUACAAGAAGGUAAACGGACGGUGUAGAGAUUUUCAACCAGAGAUUAUACGGUUCGAAGCACCCCCCCUCACAUGACAUUGUUCUGAUAACAUUUGAACUUUUGAAAGCGAAGAUGGCGUGGAUGUAUUCAGUUAAAUUGCAUGAGAAGAGAUUGAGUGCCGUGAGCACCCAAGCACCUUGCGUUAUUGCGCAACUGACGUAAAUGCCCCUCAAAAUGGGCGAGUGGGUAGGAGGCGGAGGUAGGGGCAUUGUUGACAUCUCAUGGGUGCUUCCUCAUCAUUUGCAUUCAUUGCUUUUGUACCUCAAGAGUUUUUAUUAUUUGUGAUAGCUGGGGUCUGAAAUAAAUAAUUAGGAGUUGACGUGGGAGUUUUGUGAUGUUGAAAUUUGGAUAAAAAUUAACAUUUUUUUAAUUUAUUUUUACCCUUGUAUCUUCCGAGAAUGUCCA